rnacentral:rRNA from 1 species
AUUGAACGCUGGCGGCAUGCCUUACACAUGCAAGUCGAACGGCAGCACGGGUGCUUGCACCUGGUGGCGAGUGGCGAACGGGUGAGUAAUACAUCGGAACAUGUCCUGUAGUGGGGGAUAGCCCGGCGAAAGCCGGAUUAAUACCGCAUACGCUCUACGGAUGAAAGCGGGGGACCUUCGGGCCUCGCGCUAUAGGGUUGGCCGAUGGCUGAUUAGCUAGUUGGUGGGGUAAAGGCCUACCAAGGCGACGAUCAGUAGCUGGUCUGAGAGGACGACCAGCCACACUGGAACUGAGACACGGCCCAGACUCCUACGGGAGGCAGCAGUGGGGAAUUUUGGACAAUGGGCGAAAGCCUGAUCCAGCAAUGCCGCGUGUGUGAAGAAGGCCUUCGGAUUGUAAAGCACUUUUAUCCGGAAAGAAAUCCUGUGCCCUAAUACGGUCGGGGGUUGACGGUACCGAAAGAAUAAGCACCGGCUAACUACGUG